GCCACUCCCGGCACCAGCCGCUUCGCCACCGGCUCCACCACCUCGAAGCUGUCGGCGUCUGUAGGGGAGAGGAGAGCGGGCUUCAUCUUCUGAUACUGCAGACUGGCUCGUCUAGGACAGUAGAAGUAACAUCGUCGCAUUCAAAGGCUGGGUUUCUAGGUAUGGAUUCUUGAAAAUAUGUAAGAAAUGGACACAAAAAUGGAAUAUGAAGGGAUAGAAAAAGGGGAAAAUAGUUUAAGAUUUUUUUUAAAAAAAGGAGAAAAUCCUGUUAAAGUAUGUAUUAGGGAAUUCAUCUGGGAGUUACCCUCAUACCUGGUCUGAAUUUAUCCCCUUAUCUUUGCUGCCAUGCCUCCUUUUUUCCUUAGGGAAGAAAAAGCCAGAAGCACACUCUUUUCAAGAUACUAUACCCAUUAAAAAUACUAAUGUGCGAUUCAAACAGAGCAAAAGGCAAAGACUAGGAAAACACCCCAGUUGUUGACCACUAAACUUCCUUAGCUGACUUUCCUUCAGCUGACUCAGAUUCUUCUUUUCCUUUCUUGAAAUGUUAGCAGUACUGAUGAGUUAAACGCUUGUUGCUUUUCAGUCAGUCCAGAACUGCUUGAUUCUAUGAAUGUGGCUAUUUUAAAGUAUUCUGGGAUCUGAGUUAUUUAAUAAUAUUUAGCAGUAAUAACAUGAAGAUCAGCAUCAUCCCACUAAGGUACCUUGACAGCAUCCCUCUUACCUUGCUGAGGGACUCACAUGCGCUACCUCAGGAGCACCACUGUGCCAUCUUGGAUGUCUUCUUCCUAGAAGCAUUGUCAUUCUGUCACAACACUGAAAUAAUUUCCAGUUGAUAGAUAUACUGGAAACUGGACAAGAAGCAAGAACCACAAAUCCAGAAGUUCUACCUAGCAAGGCCUGUGUCCACCUGAACACUGCUCUGCCUUCAGCUGUUUUUCAAUUCAGAGGACUUUGGGAGUGGGAUGUGAAAAAGCUCAUCUGCCAAUACUGUUCUCUGAACAUCUUUCACAUGGACUGGACUUGUCAGCAAAUAAUCUACCUCAAAUUGUAAUAAUGUACGUUACUGUACUGGAAGAAGGCAUAGCCUGAUAAAGCUAGGCGAGAAGAUAGAA